ACACGACUACAUUAGAUACCCGUGUAGUCCUAGCCGUAAACGAUACUCGCUAGGUGUCGGCCACGGUGCGACCGUUGUCGGUGCCGUAGGGAAGCCGUGAAGCGAGCCACCUGGGAAGUACGGCCGCAAGGCUGAAACUUAAAGGAAUUGGCGGGGGAGCACAACAACGGGUGGAGCUUGCGGUUUAAUUGGAUUCAACGCCGGAAAUCUUACCGGGACCGACAGCAACAUGAAGGCCAAGCUGAAGACUUUUGCCGGAUUAGCUG
rnacentral:rRNA from 1 species